rnacentral:tRNA from 1 species
GCACCCUUAGCUCAGCGGGAGAGCGCCACAUUGACAUUGUGGAUGUCGCAAGUUCGAUCCUUGCAGGGUGCACCA